rnacentral:rRNA from 1 species
GAUGAACGCUGGCGGCGUGCCUAAUACAUGCAAGUCGAGCGAACGGACGAGAAGCUUGCUUCUCUGAUGUUAGUGGCGGACGGGUGAGUAACACGUGGAUAACCUACCUAUAAGACUGGGAUAACUUCGGGAAACCGUAGCUAAUACCGGAUAAUAUUUUGAACCGCAUGGUUCAAAAGUGAAAGACGGUCUUGCUGUCACUUAUAGAUGGAUCCGCGCUGCAUUAGCUAGUUGGUAAGGUAACGGCUUACCAAGGCAACGAUGCAUAGCCGACCUGAGAGGGUGAUCGGCCACACUGGAACUGAGACACGGUCCAGACUCCUACGGGAGGCAGCAGUAGGGAAUCUUCCGCAAUGGGCGAAAGCCUGACGGAGCAACGCCGCGUGAGUGAUGAAGGUCUUCGGAUCGUAAAACUCUGUUAUUAGGGAAGAACAUAUGUGUAAGUAACUGUGCACAUCUUGACGGUACCUAAUCAGAAAGCCACGGCUAACUACGUG